rnacentral:rRNA from 1 species
AUUGAACGCUGGCGGCAGGCCUAACACAUGCAAGUCGAGCGGAUGAAGGGAGCUUGCUCCUGGAUUCAGCGGCGGACGGGUGAGUCAUGCCUAGGAAUCUGCCUGGUAGUGGGGGAUAACGUCCGGAAACGGGCGCUAAUAUCGCAUACGUCCUGAGGGAGAAAGUGGGGGAUCCUCGGACCUCACGCUAUCAGAUGAGCCUAGGUCGGAGUAGCUAGUUGGUGGGGUAAAGGCCUACCAAGGCGACGAUCCGUAACUGGUCUGAGAGGAUGAUCAGUCAGACUGGAACUGAGACACGGUACAGACUCCUACAGGAGGCAGCAGUGGGGAAUAUUGGACGAUGGGGGAAAGCCUGAUCCAGCCAUGCCGCGGGUGUGAAGAAGGACUUCGGAUGGGAAAGCGCUGUAAGUUGGAAGGAAGGACAGUAAGUUAAUACCUUGCUGUUUUGACGUUACCAACAGAAUAAGCACCGGCUAACUUCGUG